GUAUAGUUCAGUGGUAGAGUGCAUGGUUAGCAUGCAUGAUGUUCUGGGUUCAAUCCUAGUAC
rnacentral:tRNA from 1 species